UGGGGAAUAUUGCAUAAUGGGGGAAACCCUGAUGCAGCAACGCCGCGUGAGUGAUGACGGCCUUCGGGUUGUAAAGCUCUGUCUUCAGGGACGAUAAUGACGGUACCUGAGGAGGAAGCCACGGCUAACUACGUGCCAGCAGCCGCGGUAAUACGUAGGUGGCAAGCGUUGUCCGGAUUUACUGGGCGUAAAGGGAGCGUAGGCGGACUUUUAAGUGAGAUGUGAAAUACCCGGGCUCAACCUGGGUGCUGCAUUUCAAACUGGAAGUCUAGAGUGGAGGAGAGGAGAGGGGAAUUCCUAGUGGAGCGGUGAAAUGGGUAGAGAGUAGGAAGAACACCAGUGGCGAAGGGGACUCUCUGGACGGUAGCUGACGCUGAGGGUCGAAAGCGUGGGGAGCAAACAG
rnacentral:rRNA from 1 species